GUUCCUUGUAGGAUCGCCUGGUGGGAGCCCAGGAGGGGUAGGGCUUAUCUGGUGCUACAUCCACCAUGCAAGCCUUGGAACUCCCAGGAAGGAAGGUCCAUUUUUUCCAAGGAAGAGCCCUCAGGUUUUUUGCCAUGGGUAUUAAUCAUCAUGGCAGCUAUGGAGAGUUUUGAAACAGAAUCAUCCAAUCUUUCCUAAAAGUGCACCAGGCCAAAGAAGAUACACUGGAAGAUGUUAUUAGCUCCUGAAAUUUGGUAACAAGAAAGGCCUUUAAAGUCUCCAGGACUUUAGCUCCUUAACGGUGGGACUAUGCUUUAGAUAGAAGCUGAUUAGUAAAUAUUGAUUGAAUGAAUACAUCCAGACAGAGUGUUUGGAAUCUUGGCUCACCCUGCUCACCUCCCCAGCUCCCAGUCUGGUCUGUCUUCAUCAUGGGAAAUGCUUGCUGUACUGGCCAGAAUGAGCAUCAGAACAUGCAAAGAGCCCAGGUAGAACCUCUAGCACUUUGUUGACUACAAGGGAUGAGAGCAGACACCUUUGGUUCAUCUUCGGUUCUGGCCUUAACGGAAAAGCAUUCACUGUUUCAUAGUGGAGAAACUAAGGCCCAUCUCACGAUGGAACUCACCAAGGGCCACAUGUCAAUAACUGGUAAAUAACCUGGAAAGCGGGUUCAACUAGGAGCCCCCAAAAUCAUGCUCCUUCCUGCUCCAGGAAGCACCAGGAACCCCCUUCUUCAUUUGUGCUGACAACAUAACCUUAGAGAUGAGGAGU
rnacentral:lncRNA from 1 species